AUUGAACGCUGGCGGCAGGCCUAACACAUGCAAGUCGAGCGAGCGGCGGACGGGUGAGUAAUGUCUGGGAAACUGCCUGAUGGAGGGGGAUAACUACUGGAAACGGUAUCUAAUACCGCAUACCAUCAGAUGUGCCCAGAUGGGAUUAGCUAGUAUGUGGGGUAACGGCUCACCUAGGCGACGCUCCCUAGCUGGUCUGAGAGGAUGACCAGCCACACUGGGACGGGGACACGGUACAGACUCCUACGUGAGGCAGCAGUGGGGAAUAUUGCACAAUGGGCGCAAGCCUGAUGCAGCCAAGCCGCGUGGAGGAAGAAGGCCUUAGGGUUGUAAAGUACUUUCAGCGGGGAGGCGUUACCCGCAGAAGAAGCACCGGCUAACUCCGUGCCAGCCGCCGCGGUAAUAC
rnacentral:rRNA from 1 species